rnacentral:rRNA from 1 species
GACGAACGCUGGCGGCGUGCCUAAUACAUGCAAGUAGAACGCUGAAGGAGGAGCUUGCUUCUCUGGAUGAGUUGCGAACGGGUGAGUAACGCGUAGGUAACCUGCCUGGUAGCGGGGGAUAACUAUUGGAAACGAUAGCUAAUACCGCAUAAGAGUAGAUGUUGCAUGACAUUUGCUUAAAAGGUGCAAUUGCAUCACUACCAGAUGGACCUGCGUUGUAUUAGCUAGUUGGUGGGGUAACGGCUCACCAAGGCGACGAUACAUAGCCGACCUGAGAGGGUGAUCGGCCACACUGGGACUGAGACACGGCCCAGACUCCUACGGGAGGCAGCAGUAGGGAAU